rnacentral:rRNA from 1 species
UACAGGGGGUGCGAGCGUUGUCCGGAAUCACUGGGCGUAAAGGGCGCGUAGGUGGCCCGUUAAGCGUGUGGUGAAAGCCUGGGGCUCAACCCCAGGUCUGCCAUGCGAACUGACAGGCUUGAGCAUAGUAGAGGCGGGUGGAAUUCCGGGUGUAGCGGUGGAAUGCGUAGAGAUGUGGAGGAACACCGAUGGCGAAGGCAGCCUCCUGGGCCAAUACUGACGCUCAUGCACGAAAGCGUGGGGAGCAAACAGG